rnacentral:rRNA from 1 species
GACGAACGCCGGCGGCGUGCUUAACACAUGCAAGUCGAGCGGUAAGGCCCUUUCGGGGGUACACGAGCGGCGAAUGGGUGAGUAACACGUGGGUGACCUGCCCUCAGCUCUGGGAUAAGCCUGGGAAACCGGGUCUAAUACCGGAUAUGACUCCAUGACGCAUGUUGUGGGGUGGAAAGCCUUGUGCGGCUGAGGAUGGGCCCGCGGCCUAUCAGCUUGUUGGUGGGGUGAUGGCCUACCAAGGCGACGACGGGUAGCCGGCCUGAGAGGGCGACCGGCCACACUGGGACUGAGACACGGCCCAGACUCCUACGGGAGGCAGCAGUGGGGAAUCUUGCGCAAUGGGCGAAAGCCUGACGCAGCGACGCCGCGUGAGGGAUGACGGCCU